rnacentral:tRNA from 1 species
GGGCGAUUAGCUCAGGUGGCUAGAGCGUUUGCUUGACAUGCAAGAGGUCGCUGGUUCAAGUCCAGCAUCGCCCA